UACGAAGGGGGCUAGCGUUGCUCGGAAUCACUGGGCGUAAAGCGCACGUAGGCGGAUCUUUAAGUCAGGGGUGAAAUCCCAAGGCUCAACCUUGGAACUGCCUUUGAUACUGGGGAUCUCGAGUCCGGAAGAGGUUGGUGGAACUGCGAGUGUAGAGGUGAAAUUCGUAGAUAUUCGGAAGAACACCAGUGGCGAAGGCGACUUACUGGACACAUAUUGACGCUGAGGUGCGAAAGCGUGGGGAGCAAACAGG
rnacentral:rRNA from 1 species